UGCGCAGCAUAGGUGGGAGGCAGAGAAUAUAUAUUUGCGGAUGUAUAAGAGCCAUUAGUGAGAUACCACUCUGAUUAAACUAGAAUUCUAAUAUUGAUUGCCAUAAGCUGGCCAAUAAACAGUUUCAGGUGGGCAGUUUGACUGGGGCGGUCGCCUCCUAAAAGGUAACGGAGGCGUGCAAAGGUUUCCUCAGGCUGGUCGGAAAUCAGUCGUAGAGUAUAAAGGUAUAAGGAAGCUUGACUGCGAGACAUACAAGUCGAGCAGAGACGAAAGUCGGCCUUAGUGAUCCGACAGUACUG
rnacentral:rRNA from 2 species